AGUGAACGCUGGCGGUAGGCCUAACACAUGCAAGUCGAACGGCAGCACAGUAAGAGCUUGCUCUUACGGGUGGCGAGUGGCGGACGGGUGAGGAAUACAUCGGAAUCUACUUUUUCGUGGGGGAUAACGUAGGGAAACUUACGCUAAUACCGCAUACGACCUACGGGUGAAAGCAGGGGAUCUUCGGACCUUGCGCGAUUGAAUGAGCCGAUGUCGGAUUAGCUAGUUGGCGGGGUAAAGGCCCACCAAGGCGACGAUCCGUAGCUGGUCUGAGAGGAUGAUCAGCCACACUGGAACUGAGACACGGUCCAGACUCCUACGGGAGGCAGAAGAGGGGAAUAUUGGACAAUGGGCGCAAGCCUGAUGCAGCCAUACCGCGUGGGUGAAGAAGGCCUUCGGGUUGUAAAGCCCUUUUGUUGGGAAAGAAAAGCAGCAGGUUAAUACCCCGCUGUUCUGACGGUACCCAAAGAAUAAGCACCGGCUAACUUCGUG
rnacentral:rRNA from 1 species